AUGAUCCUGUGGCUGAAUUUGGUUUCCUUACUAGCAGUCCUCAGAGGUGUCAAGUUUGAGCUCCACUUGGUGGAGUCUGGAGGGGACGUGAGAAGGCCUGGAGAGUCACUCCGUCUCUCCUGCCAAGCCUCUGGCUUCCCCUUCAGCAGUUAUGACAUGGACUGGGUAAGACAGGCUCCUGGAAAAGGACGGGAAUGGGUGGCCAGCAUAGAUCCAGAGAUGCUUGGCUCUACCACUGCCUAUUCAGACAAAGUCAAGGGACGCUUCACCAUCUCCAGGAACGAUUCCCGCAGCCAGCUGUAUCUGCAAAUGAGCAGCCUGAAGCCAGAGGACACGGCAGUCUAUUACUAUGGCCUCCGUCUCUCCUGCCAAGCCUCUGGAUUCGACUUCAGCAGCUCCUACAUGCACUGGCUGAGAGAGGACCCUGGGAAAGGGCUGGAAUGGAUUGCAGUGGUAGAUUAUGAUGGAGAAACCUACUACUUGGACAAAGUGAAGGGAGGCAUCACCAUUUCCAGGGACAAUUCCCGCAGCCAGCUGUAUCUGCAAAUGAGCAGCCUGAAGCCGGAGGACUUGGCAGUCUAUUACUGUGUGGGAGACAAAGUGGGAGGAACUGAGUCUGAAGCCUGGAAAAAAAACGUCCCUUCUGUAGAGCCGCUCUCCAGUUUGAUUCAAUCAAUAGUAUAG